rnacentral:rRNA from 1 species
UGAGGAAUAUUGGUCAAUGGGGGCAACCCUGAACCAGCCAAGUCGCGUGAAGGAUGAAGGUCUUAUGGAUUGUAAACUUCUUUUACACGGGAAUAAAGUGGGGGACGUGUCCCCCUCUGCAUGUACCGUGUGAAUAAGGAUCGGCUAACUCCGUGCCAGCAGCCGCGGUAAUACGGAGGAUCCGAGCGUUAUCCGGAUUUAUUGGGUUUAAAGGGUGCGCAGGCGGGAUGUUAAGUCGGCGGUGAAAUUUUGCAGCUCAACUGUAAAAGUGCCUUCGAUACUGGCCUCCUUGAGUGUGGAUGAAGUAGGCGGAAUUUGUGGUGUAGCGGUGAAAUGCUUAGAUAUCACGAGGAACUCCGAUUGCGCAGGCAGCUUACUAAGCCACAACUGACGCUCAUGCACGAAGGCGUGGGGAUCAAACA